AAGUCGGAAUCGCUAGUAAUCGCGGAUCAGAAUGCCGCGGUGAAUACGUUCCCGGGCCUUGUACACACCGCCCGUCACACCAUGGGAGUUUGUUGCACCAGAAGUAGCUAGCCUAACUGCAAAGAGGGCGGUUACCACGGUGUGGCCGAUGACUGGGGUGAAGUCGUAACAAGGUAGCCGUAGGGGAACCUGCGGCUGGAUCACCUCCUUA
rnacentral:rRNA from 1 species